rnacentral:rRNA from 1 species
AAGCGCACGUAGGCGGUCUCGUAAGUCGGGUGUGAAAUCCCACAGCUUAACUGUGGAACUGCGCCCGAUACUGCGGGGCUUGAGGAUGGGAGGGGAGAGUGGAAUUCCUGGUGGAGCGGUGAAAUGCGUAGAUAUCAGGAGGAACACCGGUGGCGAAGGCGACUCUCUGGUCCAUUCCUGACGCUGAGGUGCGAGAGCUAGGGGAGCAAACGGGAUUAGAUACCCCGGUAGUCCUAGCUGUAAACGAUGGGCACUAGAUAGAGGGAUUCUAUGCAUCUCUCUGUCGGAGCUAACGCGUUAAGUGCCCCGCCUGGGGAGUAUGCUCGCAAGGGUAAAACUCAAAGGAAUUGACGGGGGCUCACACAAGCGGAGGAGCAUGUGGUUCAAUUCGACGCAACGCGAAGAACCUUACCCAGGCUUGACAUGGAUGGAUUAGUCGGCGGAGACGUUGAUGACACUCGCAAGAGCGGAACAUUCACAGGUGCUGCAUGGCUGUCGUCAGCUCGUGUCGUGAGAUGUUGGGUUAAGUCCCGUAACGAGCGAAACCCUUGCCCCAAGUUGCGACCAGGUAAAGCUGAGCACUCUUAGGGGACUGCCGUUGUCAAAACGGAGGAAGGUGGGGACGACGUCAAGUCAUCAUGGCCUUUAUGCCUGGGGCUACACACGUGCUUACAAUGGCCGGUACAAAGGGUUCCGAGGGCGCAAGCCGGAGGCAAUCCCAUAAAGCCGGUCUCAGUUCGGAUUGGAGGCUGCAACUCGCCUCCAUGAAGCCGGAAUCGCUAGUAAUCGCGGAUCA